AUUGAACGCUGGCGGCAGGCCUAACACAUGCAAGUCGAGCGAGCGGCGGACGGGUGAGUAAUGUAUGGGGAUCUGCCCGAUAGAGGGGGAUAACUACUGGAAACGGUAGCUAAUACCGCAUACUAUCGGAUGAACCCAUAUGGGAUUAGCUAGUAGGUGGGGUAAAGGCUCACCUAGGCGACGAUCCCUAGCUGGUCUGAGAGGAUGACCAGCCACACUGUGACUGAGACACGGCCCAGACUCCUACGGGAGGCAGCAGUGGGGAAUAUUGCACAAUGGGCGCAAGCCUGAUGCAGCCAUGCCGCGUGUGUGAAGAAGGCCUUAGGGUUGUAAAGUACUUUCAGCGGGGAGGCGUUACCCGCAGAAGAAGCACCGGCUAACUCCGUGCCAGCAGCCGCGGUAAUUC
rnacentral:rRNA from 1 species